CCCAAGAGAUCGGGAUAACACCUGGAAACAGAUGCUAAUACCGGAUAACAACAGAUGAUGCCUAUCAACUGUUUAAAAGAUGGUUCUGCUAUCACUCUUGGAUGGACCUGCGGUGCAUUAGCUAGUUGGUAGGGUAACGGCCUACCAAGGCGAUGAUGCAUAGCCGAGUUGAGAGACUGAUCGGCCACAUUGGGACUGAGACACGGCCCAAACUCCUACGGGAGGCAGCAGA
rnacentral:rRNA from 1 species